GAUGAACGCUGGCGGCGUGCCUAAUACAUGUAAGUCGAGCGAACAGACGAGGAGCUUGCUCCUCUGACGUUAGCGGCGGACGGGUGAGUAACACGUGGAUAACCUACCUAUAAGACUGGGAUAACUUCGGGAAACCGUAGCUAAUACCGGAUAACAUGUUGAACCGCAUGGUUCAACAGUGAAAGACGGUUUUGCUGUCACUUAUAGAUGGAUCCGCGUCGCAUUAGCUAGUUGGUAAGGUAACGGCUUACCAAGGCAACGAUGCGUAGCCGACCUGAGAGGGUGAUCGGCCACACUGGAACUGAGACACGGUCCAGACUCCUACGGGAGGCAGCAGUAGGGAAUCUUCCGCAAUGGGCGAAAGCCUGACGGAGCAACGCCGCGUGAGUGAAGAAGGUCUUCGGAUCGUAAAACUCUGUUAUUAGGGAAGAACAAAUGUGUAAGUAACUAUGCACGUCUUGACGGUACCUAAUCAGAAAGCCACGGCUAACUACGUG
rnacentral:rRNA from 1 species